UGGUGUACGUAUGUGAUAUACUUA
rnacentral:siRNA from 1 species